rnacentral:lncRNA from 1 species
ACAUUGACUGUAAAGGAACCAAUGUGAAGAGUGGUGUUUCCUGAGCAAACGGUGACUUAAAAAAAAAAAAAAAAAAGUGGUGGGGUGGAGGUCAGCAGUGCCACAGAACAAACUGGAGUUAAGAAAUGUCGUUCUUCAGAUUUAAAAAGAAAACCUUUACUGAAUCAGCUGAGUGUUAAUAAUACGAAUUUCCUUUUCUUGUGUUAUCCAAGAUAAAUUCUGUGGGAUUAUAAACAUUUCAGUAGAAGGCCUGCAUGAUGUCAUGACGGAAGAUCCUGAAACAGGAACUUAUAAAGACUGUAUGUUGAUGUCUCAUCUUGAGGAACCAAAAGUAACAGAAGAUGAAGAACCACCCACAGAACAAGAUAAGAGGAAAAAGAUGCUGGCCCUGAAGGACCCUGUUCAUACAGUGUCACUGCAGCAGUUCAUCUACGAGAAGCUCAAGGCACAGCAGGAGAUGCUAGGAGAACAAGGUUUCCAGUCCCUCAUGGAAACAGUGGAUACGGAGAUUGUCACCCAGCUACAGGAGUUUUUGCAAGGAUUCUAAGAGCACAUGACAUGUGGCUGCCUCCCCUUUCAGAAACAAGCUGAGUAACCCAGCCUGCCGUUUGUAUGUGAGAGCCUGCUGAGAUGAAGAAAUCACUUCAUGAAAAUAAGCAAAGACCACACAUUUUUUACUACAAAAUGUAAAGGAUAAAUGUAAAUCCUGCAUAACUAAAAUCACAAACCUAUUCCUCAAAAGAAUUUAAUUUUAUAUUUAUGAGGGGGCCCUUCACUAAAAAGUACAUGUAAAAGUACAUUUGAUGACAAUAGCUGCUUAGUUUCCUGUUAAGAGAAGAAACUUUAUCUUUUAAUUAUGUGCUCUUAAUAUUUGAAGAUGAGAGUUAAUACCUGAGAUGUUUUUCUGCAACCAAAAUUCAUUAAAUUUGGCUGCCUUAUCCUUUUUUUAAGCUAAUGAAACUACAGGUUUGAAAAAUGACAAAGCUGUUCAGAUGAUGCUAUUAAAGAAAUGUGUGUACUAAGCAAAAAUAUAUAAAUAGUGACAAAUACACAUUACCAAGCUUAUCUUGCAAGGGAGUUAUUUUCAUCUAACAUAGAAAGUGUGUUUUAUCAGACAAAUGCUUUUAUUUUCAUUCUAAUAAUUUGAUACAGAAAUUAGUAAAGGCAUUUUUUUCUUUUUUUUUCCAGUAAAUACAUUGGGUCUAUAAAUGUGCAUUUGUAAGGGCCACAAAAGUGAACGUGUGGUACUGUAGUACCACGUGGGAGACCUCUGGUUAUGGUUUAGUCCUAGUUCCUUUGUUACUCCUGUGAGCACCGAGAAGAACUGGGCGACUCCCAGUCCCACCUGUGCUGUGACAGUCCCACGUGGCUAUGACAGACUGUUUAGUACUUACCCUUCUCAGGUUCCUCAGUGCAGGGGUGCAUCAGGGCCUCAAUAAUAGGGGUAUACCUGGGAGGAUCCAGCAGUAAUCCCCAGGGUACUAGGAUUACUAGUACUCUGAUGGAACUAGUCUUCCUUCCUUAUUCCUCGAACAUGCAGUACAUAAAAAGGGGAAAAGGAGAAAAAAAAAGCCUUACUUUGUUUUACUUGCCAUUUAUUGUAAGGAAACUUUAAAGCAUUUUUUAGGAAAUACUCAAAAGCAAGGUUGGAAAAUGUUUUAUCUUUCUAUAGAAAGUUGGGUACAGUAUGUAACUGCGGGAAACCCACUGCCCCUUUGUAAGCUGUGGAACCCAAACUGUAUGGGGAUAUUUGAUGUUUUCAGAAAGAGGAAGAAAAUAUGGUCCAAAUUAAAUUUUCCAAAGAUACCUCACCUUGGA